rnacentral:rRNA from 1 species
AUUGAACGCUGGCGGCAGGCCUAACACAUGCAAGUCGAGCGGAUGAAGGGAGCUUGCUCCUGGAUUCAGCGGCGGACGGGUGAGUAAUGCCUAGGAAUCUGCCUGGUAGUGGGGGAUAACGUCCGGAAACGGGCGCUAAUACCGCAUACGUCCUGAGGGAGAAAGUGGGGGAUCUUCGGACCUCACGCUAUCAGAUGAGCCUAGGUCGGAUUAGCUAGUUGGUGGGGUAAAGGCGUACCAAGGCGACGAUCCGUAACUGGUCUGAGAGGAUGAUCAGUCACACUGGAACUGAGACACGGUCCAGACUCCUACGGGAGGCAGCAGUGGGGAAUAUUGGACAAUGGGCGAAAGCCUGAUCCAGCCAUGCCGCGUGUGUGAAGAAGGUCUUCGGAUUGUAAAGCACUUUAAGUUGGGAGGAAGGGCAGUAAGUUAAUACCUUGCUGUUUUGACGGUACCAAAAGAAUAAGCACCGGCUAACUUCGUG